CUGGGCGGCCUUCCUAUACGAUGGCUUCAAGUGUAGUGUGACAGAAGAACAAUCUACAUCAGUGGAUCAGCGACUAAACUCGUGAAAUAUCGCCUCCACGUCGUUUGGUGGCAGUAUAAGCCAUCAGAAACAAAUGUGCAAAAUGGUCGAAGAAGAGGUCAAAGAUACCUGACUGUAUGUAGUUUACAGACAGAAGACACGCUAUUAUCUAAGGCGUUUUGUAAUUUGAAAUCUUAGCUGUUAUUGAACUGACAUUGAAACUUUAAGGCAAGCUACAGCCUGCUCAAAUCAAAGGUGUUAUCGUGUUCGUGUAUAGUGGUCGACAUGGUUUGAAUUUUGUCAACGUUUGAAAUAGGGGGACCACAGUUUGCAACUUCCUUAAUAACAAACAUGAUGGCAAGGAAUGCUUUAAUACGUGUAAGGAGUUGUUUUAGGACCGCCAAUUUUGUUUCUGCGCGGCAUUUGUAUUGCACUCACUCAAAGUCCUCAAGCGUUAGGGUAUUGUAUGAUGGGGAGUGUCCGAUAUGUGUGAAGGAGAUACACUUCUUGCAGUUCUUGCAGAAGAAGAAUCGACCAGAGGAAGUCGAGUUUGUGGAUAUAUCACUUCAAGGUUAUGAUGGAGCCAAAUAUGGGGGGAUCAGCUACGAGAGGGCAAUGGAGGAAAUGCAUGUGAUCGAUGGAAAUGAUCAGGUUCAUGUGGGAGUCCCAGCCUUUGAGGUGAUGUACACUGCUGUCGGUCUGGACUGGUUGGGCCGCCUCAUAUCCUGGCCUUACAUCCGGCCCCUAAUGGACAGAGCCUACGAUGCCUUUGCCAGAAACCGCCUCAAGUGGACAGGCAGAGAUGAGUGCACUACCGGACGCUGUGUAAAGAAGAAGGAUGAAUAGAGAGAGAGGAAUACCAACAUAAAGGAAGAGGGAUGAAAAUUCGUAAUUUUUUGUUUGAGUAUACGGAGAUUUCCGGUGCCUAAAGAUCCCCAAGAUAAAUUCCUUUUUGGCUUGAGGUUUUGGACCAUUUUGCAAACUGAAUUUACUGAGAUCAUCAAUCAAUACUGAGGCCAUCAUCAUGUUUGGAUGAUGUGUGAGAACACCGCUUGCCCAUUGGUUGUUGAGGGAACAGAGUGGUCAUGGAAGGAACAACAGAAUAAUGACUUUCUUAUUUAUCAUCAUCAUUAAUAUUUAUUUUUGUUGUGAAUCAAAACAUAUAAAAAAUGUAAACAUGCUACUUCGCUAUAUAUAGUGAAAUGUUUAAUCCCCACUACUCCCUUGUAAUACCUAGAAAAACAAAGGACACAAAUAAACCUCAGUUGACAUCCA
ensembl:lncRNA